UGAUUAGGGGCGUGACAACAUGUAAAAUAUACGAUUUAAUGUUUGUCUCAUUGAUUGUUGUGGGUGCCAAGGUCACGUGAAACUCAGGUUAAAGGGACUAUCCCACCUUCAAAAAAGUCCCGUUUAGGAUUCGGAAAUGUUACUCAGGGUAUUGUGACGAAUUCUGGAAGUUAUUACGCAUUUUCAUACUAUACUUUUUAAGAUAUUUCGACUUUUAUAUUUCAUCGUGACGUCAUUUAGAUCGGAUCUGUGACGUCAUGAAGGAUUUACUUCAUGCCAAUGAGGGGGGAAAAUUUGGCAGCAAAUAUAUUUGCUUUCAAAUAUGACGCGGCUCAUACAAUAACAAAAGUGUCUCUGAUUUGGCAUUUUGUAGUUGGCAAUAUGAUACCUUACUGAUGCCUAGUCAAUGUUGUCGUGUGGCGCGGCGCUCCGUCAGCUGCUGCGCCGGGGUUAGCGGCGCUCAGCAGCUAUCAGCUGACACGGCGCGCCGUGCUCGAUCGCCGCGGCGCAUGUGCCGCUGCGCGACGCGCCGGGCGCCGACGGCCGUCGUCUGGCAGCAACAGCGCUGCCAGUGACUCGCUCUGCUGCUGCAGAAGCUGGACAAGGAUCGUAGAAUCGUGGCGUUCCAUCCGUAAAAGUCGAUCCCAGGCGGCCUAGUCGGAGAACAGGCCUAGUCGCCGGGCUGUCAGCCACCGAAUAGCAACUGGCGCAUCGCAACUCGGAGCUGGCCGCCCCGCCGAGGCUGAGCACACCACACCCUGGAGGACCUGCGCGCGCGCCGAGCUGGAGCAGGAGAGCGGGAGACGCGCGGCUGACCUGCGCCUGGAGCAGGGGCGCGCGCGGCUGGUCGAACAGGCGCGCAGGUGCAGCGGCGACUCGAGAAACAGGCUGAGUGUGAGGUGUCCUCCAGUCAGCAGGCCGCCGCUCAGAUGCAGAUUCUCAGGCUCACUGCCAGACUGUGGGGCGGCGCGCGCCACGCCACUUCAGCACGAGCCUGUGAUCUUGUAAACUGUGAACACUGCCAGUUCGGAAUUAAAAGAGUAAAAUCAGUGAACGUUCACUUCGGCUUCAUCGACGAGAGCAGCCAUCCAUGCGCGGCGCGCGCCGCCCCCGGCCGCCGCCGCCGUCGCGGCUGCUGUGCGGCAACACGUUCUGUUGCCGGUUCAAGUGUGCUGAGAUCUUCGUCUGUCUCAGCAAAGUGUAUGAUGGGGCGGCCCGCGACCCGGCGGUGUUUUUCGCGACGCUGCCGGCCUUGCAGAACGGUGUGCGACCUGCGGUGCCGGUGGCUGAUUGCGGCCCGGCGGCCGGCCGUCCGGGACCCGCGCGCUCACCACGUCCUGUCAUGCUGUGAUCAAACUGUGAACUCGGCGCGACACGACUGGCGAGCGCCGAGUGUGUGUUUAUGUAUCUAUAUGUGUGUGGAGAGGGGCGGCGGCAGUGGCCUGCCGCGCCACGCCGCCCGGGGAGUGUCCGCCGCGUAUUUUGUGUGCUGUAGCCGUCCCUCGGUCCUCGCUCGAUGUGCCGGCCGCCAGUGACGCUGCCUGCAGGACUGACGGGCGACGGCGGCCGGCUGGUAUUCAGCUGUGCCCGGGUCGUUGGCGUCUGCCACCAACCGAGAACGGACCUGUGAACCGUGGCCAAUUGCCGCAGACGCUGCCCUCUUAAUGAAUGUUGCUCGCCGUCGUGGACUCCACGAAUCCCAUGACAUUGUCGUUCCCUUCACCAGCUAGGAGAGAUACCGCAAACGUGUUGUUCGUUUCAUUGAGCUGCGCUCCAUUGAGUGCGCCGAGAGCGCACCAUUGAGUGCGCCGAGACUGACGUUAUUUAUCUGAAUAUUAAUAUAUCCCUAAAAUUA
rnacentral:lncRNA from 1 species